rnacentral:lncRNA from 1 species
UAAGUUACUAUUUUUUAUUAUCUUUUUUUACUGAGUCUAAAAUUUAAAACACGUCUUUCAAAUCUCAUCUCUCUUCAAAGUAAGUUGACUUUAUUACCAUUUUUUUACCGCCGCACUCAAAUAGAUGUCAUGAUAUAUGUUUAUCAUUGCAUUAGAUAAAAUUCACAAGCACCGAAAUAUAUUGUAAUUAGUAGCAGAGAUUAUACUUAAAAGACCCCAAUAGAUCAGAAGUAUUUUUCUGUCCAUACUUGUACCGAAAUUGCUAGCUUCUGACCCAAACCCAAAGUAUCUUUUUACAUAAAAAAAUAUAUGAUGGCAUCCUCUCCAUCAUAUUGUACAAUCAAGACAAUAGCACCUGAUUUGCACCCCCAAAUUGUGAUUUUUCUAGCACUCAUUAUUUAUGUUUCUAUCAGAGCCAUUUUCUGGCCAUCAUUAAUACUACUUUACAUUAAACGAACUUCAAUCAACAAACAAAAAUUAGAGACGCCGAAUUACACUCAGCAAGUUUGAGUCGACGAAAGCUUCAAGUAACUUAAAAAAAAAAGUAUCAUCAACAGCUCCUUGGUCUAGCUUGUAUACAUUGGAAUUCUUCUCCUUCACAAUCUGGCCAAUUACAAUUAUCUAUACCCAAUCACUUUGGUCGAGUGCAAGAAAUAGGAAAGCCAUUACACACAUUUUUCCAUAAUGUAUCACACGUUUAAAAUAGAGAUCGUAUCUAACCAUAACCGUGAUACUCCGGACCACUCUCUGAAAAAAUAAACAAAAGAGUGUAACUAAAAUUAUCAACUAUUCUUGCUCUAUGAUUGAAAAAAUCAAUUCAUUCAUACUCGCAAUUUAUCUAGUUUCACCCCUGUC